AAUAAUUCCAGAUGCUUGGGUAAGAUCCAUUAUCACCGGAGGUUAUCAUCUGGAAUUCGACGAAUAUCCACCUCCACCAAGGUUUAUUCGCACAAGGCUUCCAGCCAACAUCCAAAAAAGAGUGGUUUUGACUCUUUAUGUCAACAAUCUUCUUACGGAAGAAGCCAUCAUACCUGUACCCAUAAAAGAAAGAUUCCAGGGAUAUUAUUCCCCCCUGUUCUUGGUCAAGAAGCCAGAGGGCAAAUGGAGGCCUAUUUUAGAUCUCCACCAGCUCAACCUUUAUCUGAGAGUCAGAAAAUUCCGGAUGGAAUCCAUUCGCUCCAUCAUUCCGGUUGUUCAUCACCAAGAUUGGAUGAUAUCAGUAGACCUCAGGGAUGCAUAUUUUCAUGUCCCUAUCACGUUCACCCAUCAAAGGUUUCUCAGGUUUUGUGUCCGGAAGGAACACUUUCAAUUUCAGGCCCUUCCUUUUGGUAUAAGUACGGCCCCGAGG